rnacentral:snoRNA from 1 species
AUGACCAGUGAUGACAGUUGGUGACAUAUGAGUCAUGGAUGACGAGAGCCUCUUAAA